CCCGCCCGUCCGUGCAGCGGCCGGUGCUUUCCUCGCGGGACGACGGGGAACUCCGGGGCGGUAACCACACGCGCUUCCCCUGACCGCGGCCUGGCCAGCCCUCCCCGCCCCCACCCCGGGGGAUUUCCGCGACCCCGGGCGCCACCCCGCCGGGCGGCCUUCCAGAGAGCCGGCGCCGCGCGCUCGCGCCCGGGCAGCGGCCGCGUGCUCGGGGUCGGCCCGGUCGCGCGUCCCCGCCGGCGGUCGCAGGAGCGAGGGCGCGGGCGGAAGCGCGGGUUCCCCGUGGGCCUAGCUGCAGUGCCUGGGGCGGCGGCGUGGCCUUCUUCGUUUCCGGUAGCGAGGAAGACUUUACACCUGGGGUGAGACGCUAUUUUACAAGCCAAGAUGGGUGAGCACGAAGCCUUCUCUUCAAGAAGAGAGCCCCACGGUGAACAGGUUGGUGACAAGGCGGGACAGCCUGGCCCCCUUCGCAGCUCUGGUUUUCAGGCUGAUCGGGUUUAGGAAGAGCCCCAUGUGGACUUGAAGCACCAGGCUGUCAAUUCCUUUAACACUGAGUUCCCACUUGCCUGGGGCUAAUCUUUGUGAAGACGUGGUGAGCCUGCCCAAGGGAGUACCUGUCCCAACUGAACGACCAGCGGCCUGAGGAGUCCCAGUGGGACUGGCUUUCCCGGGUGCUUCGGGCACAGUGAGAGUGGAGAGGAGACCUACCUGCCAGGCCCCGGAGUGCAUCGCCACGUCUCCUCCACAACAUUUCACGCAACUUUAACGAUGGAUUUUUAAAAAAUGUUUACUUACUUAUUUUAGGAGGGACAGCGAGAGAGAGAAAAUGGGCAGGGGAGGGGCAGA